GGAUGUGAGGGCUAUCUGGCUGCAACAUCUGUCACCCCAUUGAUCACCAGGGUUGAUUUGGCUGAUCUGGCUGGUUAUGUGGGUAGCCCCUUCCUCCCUCUCAGCUCCAUGUGCAUCCCUCUAGAAGUUGUGAGCUCGGUCGAAGAGGACGGUCUUCCACGAAUAGAGACAGACUGGUCUGCAGUCGAGGUUAUACAAGUAGCUGUGCCCUCCAGCUAGAACCUCCAAACAAGUUCUCAAGACUUUUUUUUUCCAUAUUUUGACAAGAAUUCCACUAGUUCCUUGACUUAGGGUGUAUGUACGUAUGCAGAAUCAUGCACCAUGAAUGUGUGUGUGCACACCUAUGUGUGUGU
ensembl:misc_RNA 7SK 7SK RNA